GACGAACGCUGGCGGCGUGCUUAACACAUGCAAGUCGAACGGAAAGGCCCUGCUUUUGUGGGGUGCUCGAGUGGCGAACGGGUGAGUAACACGUGAGUAACCUGCCCUUGACUUUGGGAUAACUUCAGGAAACUGGGGCUAAUACCGGAUAGGAGCUCCUGCUGCAUGGGGGGGGUUGGAAAGUUUCGGCGGUUGGGGAUGGACUCGCGGCUUAUCAGCUUGUUGGUGGGGGAGUGGCUUACCAAGGCUUUGACGGGUAGCCGGCCUGAGAGGGUGACCGGCCACAUUGGGACGGAGAUACGGCCCAGACUCCUACGGGAGGCAGCAGGGGGGAAUAUGGCACAAUGGGCGGAAGCCUGAUGCAGCAACGCCGCGUGCGGGAUGACGGCCUUCGGGUUGUAAACCGCUUUCGCCGGUGACGAAGCGUGAGUGACGGUAAUGGGUAAAGAAGCACCGGCUAACUACGUG
rnacentral:rRNA from 1 species